rnacentral:lncRNA from 1 species
UUCUGUCAGGCGCUCAACGUAAAACAAAUAACAUGAAACUGAGCUGCGCAAUUGUCACCAGUUAUGAUCUUUUAUUGAGGAGAUCUUAUAUUUCAGAUACACGCUAAAUCUGACAACUGCACCAACUACUACGUUUGGGUACAAUGUGAGUAACGCCAUUCAAUACCAGCUACAUGAUUGCACGCUUCUAAAUAAUACAGUUAUCUUUACUAAUAACGCAUGCACACUUUUGAGCGUCACAUAUGGAAAUGCCAGCAAUGACGAUGACGGGUGUGAACUGUGGGCCAGGCAGGAAUACCUCGAAAAUAACACUGUCCCUUUGUGUUGUUACUUUCUGUUUGAUAUGCUCUGUGCGCAACAAGGAAGCUACAAAGUACCGUAUAAUAAUUGCAGCAGUGACUAAGUGGCUGUGCAAGACAGGGAAAUAAAAUCACCGUAUUCGCAGGGAAAGCUUCAUGAUAUCAAAUACCUCCAGUUCUCAUAAGAGCAUUACGGACUAGUUUCCGCUCUGUUCUGCUAAACCCAUUGUGGGAUGGCAGGUGCAUAAACCAGAAAUGUCUAUUUGAAUGAGGUACGAAGCGACAAACAGAACCAUUUAAGCUUUGUUUUGUCAAAGAAGAUUCCCAUCUGAAAUUUGCGCUCGUCGACUAUUUCUCUCCACCUUGCGAAAACCACACAAUACCCAAACCCGCUUAAAAACAAUCACAUGCACAAUGACUGUCACAACAACAGAUAAGGUUAAUAUUUGUCAUAGAAUGUGAAUCACGUGUUGCACGGCGACGCGCUGGUGUGUUUAUUCUGUACAUAGAAGACAAUUUGUAUUUGAAAUAAAGCUUUCCUGCGAA